rnacentral:lncRNA from 1 species
UUCCCUUUCUAUAACAGGAUAUGUUAAUUGCAGCAAUGGGCACUUCCGCAGCAGCUAUAGAAUGGAUACUAACAGAGCUUCUUCGACAUCCUCAUGUGAUGAAGAAACUCCAAAAAGAGUUGGAACAAGUGGUAGGCCUUGAAAGAAUGGUAAAAGAAUCAGACUUGGAGAAGUUGAACUACUUAGACAUGGUUGUAAAGGAGGGCAUGAGGCUGCAUUGUGUAGUUCCACUAAUGCCUCACGAGGCCAUGGAAGAUUGUGUAGUCAAUAGCUUCCACAUACAAAAAGGAUCCCGGAUCAUGAUAAACUUUUAUGCUGUUCAAAGGGAUCCAAAUAUUUGGCAUGAGCCUGAAAAGUUUUUACCCGAGAGGUUUGUUGAGAGCAGUAUAGAUGUUCGUGGACGUGACUUCCAACUUUUACCAUUUGGCUCUGGCAGAAGAAGUUGCCCUGCCAUGCAGUUGGGGAUCAUCAUUGUCCAACUUACAGUGGCACAAUUGGUGCAUUGCUUUGAUUGGGAGCUUCCAAAUGGUAUGCAGCCUUGUGAAUUGGAUGUUGAGGAGCACUUUGGAUUAGCAACAAGCAGAGAAAAUCCUUUAAUGGCUAUUCCUACUUAUAGAAUAAACUAGUAUUUGAACACGUGCGUUGCACGUGUAUCUCAUAUUAUAUGUUUGCAUAAUAUAAAUCUAUAGUGAUAAAUUUAUGUGUACAUUUAAAUAAACAUUUGGUUGCAAUAUAAAUUGGAAAACAUGCAUUUAUAAGAUAAGAAAUCAUAACAGAUACCCUCAAAUUUCAAACUAUAAGCAUAGUAAGAAUAUGUAUUUCUCAUGAGUUUAAUCAAUCAUAUAUGGCAAUAAUCCCUGCAAUUCAUUGAGAAACUUUCAAUAUAUACACCAACCGUGUAUAAUGAAAACUUGAAAUGCAUAACCACAAUUAUAUUUAUAUUUCAAUACACUAAAAAGUCAUUUUUCCUUUCUGCAUUAUACUAUGGAUUCCACACAACAACUUCUAUUAAAAAAAAGAAAGACAAAAUUAGGAAAAAUAAUAUCAACAAAUUGGAAUUUAAAAUGUAAAAUUGAAAUAAGAGGAAGUGAAGCAAAGAUAAGUAGAAAAUUUUCACCUAAACAUGAAUAAGGAAACUAUUGAGAGAGUUAGAAAAAAAGAAAGAGAGUAUUGAAAGUUAGUUAGAAGUACUUUCAAGAAGUUAGUUAGAAGGACUUUCAAGAAGUUAGUUACAAAAGAUUAAGUAAGUUAGUUAGUCAAAAACAAGUUGUAUAAAUACAGGUCAUUUAGUCAUUGUAAAAUUCAUUCAAUAAUAAUCAAGAUCUUCAUCUUCUUCAAUCAGUUUGCCUUCUAUUUUGUAUAACUUCAUGGUAUCAGAGCGGGUGAUAAAAUUUUAAAGAAGUCAUCUGUGUAUUACGUCUGAAGAUCAGAAUCUGGAGAAGUUUGUUAAAUCUGGAAAAUUCUAUUCAUCUGGAGAAUUUUGUUCAUCUUGAUAAUUUUGUUUAGCUUCUGGAAAUCAAUUUGAAGAAGGAAGAUUACAAACAUGACUCAAGGGGUAACUGGUGAACAGGCAACUGGAACCAGUAGUGUUGGUGGAAUUUUUGGAAAUCCAAGCUCCAUUCCAGCUAUGUCGAUGAGUCAAGGGGUUUAUUAUAAUCAUCCUCUGUUCUUGAGUCCUGCUGAUAUCAACAGCGUGAAUCUGAUCUCAUUCCAACUUAUAGGAAUCGAGAACUAUGCCUGGUGGAGUAGGUCAAUAAAGUUGGCAUUACUUGGAAGAAACAAAAUUGGUUUGGUAGAUGGAUCGUGUAAACAAGAUGAUGUAAGUGCAGAACUAAGAGGUCAGUGGGAGAGGGUUAAUGACAUUGUUCUCUCGUGGCUUCUAAAUUCAGUGUCUAAAAGCUUGUUAGGAGGAGUUGCAUUUGCAUCAUCAGCUCAGAGUGUGUGGAAUGACUUAAAGGAAAGAUUUGAUCAGUUAGAUGGAUCAAGAACCUUCAGUCUAUACAAAGAAAUAGCAACAUUACAACAGGGCACUGAUUCUGUGUCUGCAUAUUUUACAAAGCUUAAAACCCUGUGGGAUGAAUUUGAGGCCUUGGUGCCACCUCCUGGAUGUAAUUGUGAAAAAGCAAGAGGGUUUGUGGAUCAUCUAAAUAGACAAAAGUUGUAUCAGUUCUUGAUGGGACUGAAUGAGUCGUUUGGACAGGCUAGAAGUCAGAUCUUGUUGAUGGGUCCCAUUCUUCUGGUGAAUCAAGCCUAUGCUAUGAUAGUAAGUGAUGAAUGUCAAAAGAUGACAUCUAGUAGGUUGAGUAUAGGGUUAAGUUCUAUAAGUGGUUCUGGAGUGGAUCCUCUGGCAAUGUAUUCAAGAACUGGAGGAGGUCCUAGUGCACAAGGGUUUAACAAAUUCAAGAAGAAUUUUUCAGUUGUGUGUGACUUUUGCAGAUGCAAUGGCACACUAAGGACCAAUAUUAUAAGUUGAUUGGGUAUCCUGCAGAUUUCAAGUCUAAAAGAAAAGUGUAUAAUAGUACAGGAAAUAGAGCAUACAUGGUUGGAAAUGAAUUUAACAACACAAGAAAGGGUGGUUAUGAGACAAUUAUAUAUGGAGAUAAUACUAAUGUGCAUGUGAAGAACCAUAUGAGCAAUAUAGAGGAAUAUUCAAAUCAGUUGCAAGGGUGCAAUUUCACUAAAGAUCAAUAUCAUCAAAUUCUGCAAAUGCUAAAGCAGAAUCAAGGAUGUGGGUCAAAAUCAGAAGAUACAACUCAUGCUCAUGAAACUCAGGCUAAUACUGUAGGUAAAGCUUUGUUGGUUUCUGAAAAUAAUCAAGCAUGGAUCAUAUAUACAUGAGCAUCUAAUCAUAUGGUGUCAAAUAUAGAUAUGCUUACUGAUGAGUCUAUUGUUACGAUCAAAGAGCCAAAACUUGUAUACUUACCAACUGGAGAAGUAUCAUAUGUGUCUCAUACAGGGUUAUGUCACAUAUCUCCAAGAAGUGUGAUUACAAAUAUGUAUCACAUAUCAGAGUUUAAAUACAAUUUACUAUCAGUAAGUAAGGUAACCAAGGAGUUGAAUUGUUCAGUUACUUUCUUCUCACAUUUUUGUGUGUUUCAGGAGCUUUGCACUGGCAAGGUGAGGGAAGUUGGUAAAGAAGAUGAUGGCUUAUACUUGCUGCUAAGGAACUUGACACAAGAUCAGUUAAAGCACAAGUCAUUUACUGUACCUUUUAAGAAGCCAGAGAUACAACAGUUAUCAGAAAAAGAAGUGAAUGUAUGGCACAAGAGGCUAGGACAUGGAGCAACACAUAUUUUGAGUAAAGUUUUUCCUGUUAAUUCAGAAGUAGUGAAUAAAGUGCUAAGUGAGUGUAUAGUCUGUCCUUGUGCAAAACAAACUAGGAAUGUGUUUCAAAUUAGUAGUAUUAAAAGCAGUCAAGUUUUUUAUUUGAUUCAUUUGGAUGUGUGGUGUCAAUACAAACAAACAACUUUUGAUGGUAACAGGUUCUUUCUUACAAUUGUUGAUGAUUUCUCAAGGAUGACUUGGUUAUUUUUGUUAAAAAGUAAACCAGAUAUGUGUGUGGCUUUAGAUUAUUUUCUGAGAUUUGUUAAGACACAAUUUGAUAAAAUGCUAAGGAUGGUAAGGUCUGACAAUGGAACUGAAUUUAUGAACUCUGUGUGUGCUAAUUUGUUUAUGAAAAGAGGUAUAGUUCAUCAGAGAUCAUGUCCUUAUACUCCGCAGCAAAAUGGAGUUGCUGAAAGGAAACAUAGGCAUCUCUUAGAGGUAACUAGGGCUCUAAGGUUUCAGGGUCAAAUUCCUUUAAUAUAUUGGGGUCAGUGUGUUCUUGCAGCUACUUACUUGAUAAAUAGGAUGCCUAGCAGAAUUCUGGAAGGUAAAUCUCUAUAUGAAAGGAUGUAUGGGAGUAAGCCAAUGAUAUCUCAUCUAAGAGUGUUAGGUUGUUUGUGCUAUGCUAAGGUGCUAACUGAGAGUGAUAAACUAGCAUCCAGAUCAAAGGCUGCAGUACAUAUAGGAUACUCAGAAACACAGAAAGGCUAUAUCUUGUUAGAUUUGACCUCCAGUAGUUUUUUUGUUAGUAGAGAUGUGAUAUUUAGAGAGUCAAUCUUUCCUUUCAUAACUUCUGUAGAUGAAAUAAGAGAAGGUCCAUUUGUUAAUAACUUGGAUAAUGACAUGCUGAACACAGGAUGGAAGUCUGUAAAUGAUGAAAUGAUUGACAAAGUAAAGGUUGAUCAUAGGUGUUUACAAGAAGUUCAGUGUGAUAAAGAAGUAAACAGCAAUUUGACUGAUAAUAGUGAACAAGAUACAGUGGAAGAGACAGUUCAAGGUCAUGGUUCUAUACCUCAUGAUUCUCAACCAGUGGUGAAUAGAAGAUCUACAAGAGGAGUUCAUCCACCAGUUUGGAUGAAAAAAUUUGUGUCUCUAAAUAUGGGUACACAAGUGAAGUAUCAUAUAGAUGAGUAUGUUACAUACAAUCACUUGUCUAAAAAUUAUCAAGACUUUGUUGCUGCAACUUCUGUGCUAACAGAACCUGCUUCAUUUGCUGAGGCCAGUAAAGAUCCUUAGUGGAUUGAAGCAAUGCAAGCUGAAAUCCAGGCAUUGCAGGACAACAACACUUGGAAACUAGUGGAGUUGUCUAAAUUGAAGGUUGCUAUUGGAUGUAGAUGGAUUUAUAAGAUUAAAUACAAGUCUACUGGAGAAGUAGAAAGGUUCAAAGCAAGGCUUGUGGCCAAGGGCUACAGCCAAAAAGAGGGUAUAGAUUAUAAAGAAACUUUUUUCCCUGUGGAGAAAAUGGUCACAGUAAGAACCAUACUAUCCUUAGUUGUGUCAAAGGGGUGGCAUAUACAUCAAAUGGAUGUAUACAAUGCAUUUCUAAAUGGUGAUUUAAAGGAUGAAAUAUAUAUGUCUAUGCCUCAGGCUUUUCCAGUCAGGGGGAGAAUAAGAACAAAGUAUGCAGGCUGGAAAAGUCAUUGUAUGGGCUUAAACAAGCACCAAGACAAUGGAACCAAAAGUUUGCAGAAGUUCUACACAAGCUAUGUUUCAAUGAGAGUCAACAUGAUCACUCCUUAUUUACAAGAAGGAACACUGAAGGAAAUACAAUAAUUUUGGUGUAUGUUGAUGAUAUCUUAGUAACAGGAAGUAGCUUGAAGCUAAUAGAGGAAACAAAAAGGUCUUUACAACAAAGUUUUAAGGUGAAGGAUCUAGGAGAGUUGAAAUUCUUUCUUGGAAUAGAGUUUGUAAGGUCAAACAGUGGAGUUGUCAUGCAUCAAAGGAAGUAUGUACUUCAACUUAUUUCUGAAGUUGGUUUAUCAGGAGCAAAGACUGCUGGGACACCUAUGGAUGUAAAUGUAAAGUUAACUUCAAAACAAUAUGAUGAUCAAACUGGACAAAAUCAAGAGGAGCCUCUAACAGAUCAAAGUGCCUAUCAAAAACUGAUUGGGAAGCUGCUAUAUUUAAAUAUGACAAGACCUGACAUUUCUUUUAGUGUUCAAAACUUAAGCCAGUUUCUACAUCAACCAAAGAAAUCUCAUAUGGAUGCAGCCCUUAAAGUAGUUAAAUACAUUAAAAGGCAGCCGGGACAAGGUAUAUUACUAUCUAGUAAGUGUAGUAAUGAAGUUACAGCUUAUUGUGAUGCAGAUUGGGCAGCCUGCCCUAUUACAAGGAAGUCUGUUACAGGCUGUGUGAUUAAACUUGGAGAGUAUGUGGUCUCUUGGAAAGCUAAGAAGCAGACCAUUGUGUCAAGAAGCUCAGCAGAAGCUGAGUACAGGAGCUUAGCUUCUACUGUAGCAAAGUUAGUUUGGUUGGUUGGAAUGUUGAAAGAAUUAAAGACUGAAGUUUAGUUACCAGUUCAAGUAUAUAGUGACAGCAAGUCUGCUAUUCAAUUGGCUUCUAACCCAGUCUAUCAUGAACGUACUAAACACAUUGAGAUUGAUUGUCAUUUCAUUAGGGAAAAACUUCAACAAGGACUGAUCAAGAUUACUUAUGUGUCAACACAAAAUCAGCCAGCUGAUAUGCAACCAAAGGUCUCAACAUGACUAUCUACUAUCCAAGCUAGGGGUCUUAGACAUAUUUGUACCAUCUAGCUUGAGGGAGAGUAUUGAGAGAUUUAGAAAAAAGAAAGAGAGUAUUGAAAGUUAGUUAGAAGUACUUUCAAGAAGUUAGUUAGAAGGACUUUCAAGAAGUUCGUUACAAAAGGUUAAGUAAGUAAGUUAGUCAAAAACAAGUUGUAUAAAUACAGGUCAUUUAGACAUUGUAAAAUUCAUUCAAUAUUAAUCAAGAUCUUCAUCUUCUUCAAUCAGUUUGCCUUCUAUUUUGUAUAACUUCAGAAACGUGUUGAGUAAAAGAAGGGUAAAGUAAAAGUGUGAGCUGAUAGAUGGAGGAAAUUGACAAAUAUAACUAUCUGUAUUGAAUAAUGAAAAGAAAACUCUUCAAUUUCUUAACUGCUCCAAAAAAUUUAUAACUAUGAGCUGAAGAUAAUAUAAAUUUAUUAAUUUAAUAAAUGACAUAAAUAAAUAAAUAACAUACAUUGUACAUAUGUGUAGUUAAUGGGGUAGUGAAAAAGACUCUUCCUGGAAUUAUUUUUAUUUCUUCAAAGUAAUUUUAAAUUUAUAAUAUUAGUGCUAUAGAAAAAUCAUAUAAAUCCACAAACUACUAUAAGUUUUUUAGUAAUUAUUUUAUUAAAUUAUAUACCUAUUAUUUAUUUUUAAUUAUUUAUAAUCAUUCCGGAAAUGUAUAAACUAAUUUUGUAAAUCUUGUAAAACGAAAGAAAUUAUUAUUUUUUAUCAUUAUUUUAGCUAUUAUUAGCAUUUAAUAUGACAACAUUUAAAAAGGAUUAAGACGGGAAAUGGCUUUUCAUGAUAGUAAUUACUAGUUACUAUUUGAGUCCCACAUUUUUAAAUUAUUUUUAUAUAUAUAUAUAAUAAAGAAGACUAUUUUUUGAAGGAUAUGUAAUUCAAUAUUUAUUACAUUGUAGGAGCAUUAUUUUACUAUUUAGUAUUUAAUUAUAUUUUAGAACAUUUUGUUUUAAUAAAUUAAUGUAGCCAAGAAUUUGAAAUGUUUUGACGUUUUGUUUAUCUAAACAUGUAGAAUUUUGUUUUAUAACCAGAAACAUGUAAUUAAGCCUUGAGUGAAUUGUAAUUUUAUUAUUUACUAUUUAAUUAAUUAAUAACAUUUUGAUUUAAUGGAGGGGAAAAAUGGUAAUCCAACUUUGAAGAUUGGAGCUUCCCACUUUUAAUAAUAUAUAAUAAUGCUUAAUCUCAAACUAUACAAUAUGGUAAGGAUUGUAUAUGCUCUACCCUCCCCAGAUCACAUUUGUGAUAUUUCAUUGGAUAUGUUGUUGUUAUUCAAUUCAUUACAUGUUAUGAUUAACGUCAUUCAUAUUAGCUUCAUUACAUACAAGAGAGAUUGAAGUUAUGAACACACUCUCUUUUUUCCAUUACUAAUCGACCCUUCUCUUGAACACACAUGGUCAUAAGUUCAUUAAUAGAGUAUUUAUUCUUAUGUGUGUUAUUGGAGAUCUUAAAGGAAUUUUACUGUGGAGAAAAAGAGUACAAAAUAUAGUGUACGAGAAAAAUUGGAGGCAUUUCAACCUCAAGAGUAAUUAGUGGAGCCGCUAAGCGAGUGUGCUCACACACACCUCUCAACUAAGUUACGUUACUCGGACUCGGGUGCAGGUGUCCGAUACGGGUGCGGAUCUAGAGUUCAUGAUCUAAUUUUUAAGAUUUGGGGAUAUGGAUUCAUGUAUGGAUACAGGUGCGGGGAUUCGCCUAAAAAUAAUUAAAAUAUAUAAAAAUAGAGUUAUAGAAUCUACAUUAUGAGAUAUUAGGGGUGUACAUGACCGGGUUGGUUCGGGUUUUUCAAAUAUCAAACCAAACCAUUUGUGUCGGAUUUUUAAAUCUAUAAACCAAACCAAUAAAACUCGGGUUUUUCAACUUUGGGUUUUUCGGCUUUUCGGGUUUUUUCCGGAAAAGUAUUCAUACAAACAUAUAAUUUACUUAUACUUCAAAUAUUUCUUUAGUCCUACCAAAAUACAACUAUCUAAGGUGUUUCUUAAGAAAAUAACACAAAAUAUUAUAUGAGUAAUGAUACUAAAAUAUCCAACAAAAAAUAAUAAUAAUGAAAUCGUGUAAAACAAAUAUUGCAAAAUUCACAAGUCAUAAUGAAAAUGAUCAUAAUUUAAAAGUACUAAAUCAUGCUAAAAUAAGUUUAAUAAGUAUUAGUUACGUGACUAAAUAUUAAAGGAAAUUAAAAUUAGAUUAUGUAUUUGAAUAAACUGAUGUAAAAUCAUAGAACAAAUAUUCAAUAUUUAUUGUCAUUCUUAGUGUUGAAUUUGUAUUUUUUUUUUUUGCUUUAGUAUUUAAUUUAAUUUUGAUUUAAGCUUUAUUAUAAUUAUCAAUAUCUGUGGACUAUAAUCUUUAUUGAACCAUUUAGAAUUCUAAGUUUCAAACUUGAAAUAAUAAUAAAUUAACAGAUAAAAACUAUGAAAAAGUAUAAGAAAUAUUUAAAAAUUAUAUCAAAGUAAAUUAUUUUUAUGUAUAAAAUAAAAUUUUAAAAUUAUAUAUAUAAUGUCGGGUUGGUUUGGUCUCGAGUUGGUUUUUUUUAGUUAAAACCAAACCAACCCAAAUAUAGUCGGGUUUUUUUUUUCCAAUACCAAACCAACCACUAGUCGGGUUUGUUUUCUCGGUUUGACUCGGUUUUCGGUUCGAUUUUGUACACCCCUAUGAGAUAUUAUGUGGAGAAUUUGAGGAGAAUCCUAGAAGGAGAUUAAAGAAAAAGGAGUCACAUAGAAAUUUUAUAUAAAAGGUAUUCUGUUUUCUUCAAUUUCAUCUUAGCUUUUGUAUUGAUUAUUGGAAUCAUUAAAAUUGUUCAAACUUUCCCCAUCAAUUUUGGUCAAAGUACCCAAAAUCCGUUGACCAAAUCGAACACAUAUCACACACCCACACACAUUAAUACAAAAAAUGGAGGUAUCAAGGGAACAAAAUGCAGAUAAGAAGAAGAAAGAAGGAGAAUUAAGAGAAAGAGGAAGAACAAAGGAGAAAUUGAGAGAGAAAAUGGAAAUUGUAUUGAGCUAUCACAUUCAAAUCAUGCCUUACAAGAGCAUUACAUAUUCUACUUAUACUACAAUCAGGAAACUGAAAGCAAUUACAAUGAAAAUAGCAGCAAAUAGAAGUAAGUAAUUCUAACUAACUUUUCCGCAAAAAUAAAAAAUGCAAAUGAUGUGAUCAAACCUACUCAGCACUGACGCGGCCUCCUAGCAUGUGAAUAAGAUGACUUAGAUAUUUAUGUGGAUAUUACUCAGCUCAUAUUGGUAUCACACAUAUCAUGUCAACACAGAUGCGACACCAAAAGCGAAGAGUCCGAGAAACUUAGCCUCUCAACACCAUGUGAGCUCAUUGAUAAGAAUCUCGAAAUUAAGGUGUUGUGAGUGCUUUAUACAUGAAAGUUCCAAAUUGUUUAUCAAUAACCCUUAGUAAUUCCCUGAUAUUGAUAUACUAUUUAAAAUUGAAUCUACUUACAUAAAUAUAUGUAGACUAAAAUUUUAAUUGAAUAGUUGACUCUCGAUCGUCGAAAAAUUAAACAUUCCACACCCAAAUUUAGAUCAAAAUUAGAUUAUUUGACUUUGGAUUAAUAAAAAAAAACACAAAAAUUGGAACAGAGUAAUAAUAAAAAUAAGAGAUCACAAAUAUAGGUUUAUGGUGGGGUAGCACAUAAGAAAUAAGAAUUUCAAAAGUUGAACUCACUAUGAGGUUGUUUUUGGAAGAAAAAAAAAACGCCAGAAGAUCGUCUUCUACCUCUAGCGGGUCCUUUUGACCCGUUUACAGACCCGUUCAUUUUCACCAUAUGAGAACCUGAAAAUUCGAUAAAAAGUCAGAAAAAUGUUAGAAAAUCUGUAUCCUUAUGAUUUCUAACACUAAUUUGCAUCUAAAGUUCAAAAAUUAUAGAUCCGAAAAUCAGAAUGUCAUUUUAAGCUUCGGAAAUUAACAUGGCAGAGCUAAUUUCUAAUCGCUAUGAUAUCAAAUGUAAAUUAUUUACAUGAUUCGAAGCAUGUAAAACUCAUCUUUAGAUCGAAAUUGCAGCGGAAAUAGUGAAUCGACCUACCUCCCGCCAUUGUUGCAGAAUAAUCGUUGAUGUGAAGUUCAAAACCCGACGAGUCUUCUAAAGCUCUCAGACGGAUAUCAAAUAUAUUAACGAAUACAAUUUGUAUCAACGAAUGCAAUUACCUUAGGUGGUAUCAACAAAUACAAUUUUUAUCAAUGAAUAUAAAAUGUAUGUGGUCCUUGUGUAUUUACUUUGUAUCAAAUGUAUGGACCAAUACAAUUUGUAUCAACCGUUAUAACUAUAUCAAGUUAUAUCAAUGAAUAUCAAGUGUAUAUGUUGCUUGUGCAUUCACUCACUCUAUACUAAGUAUAUUAGUGAGUGAAUAUAAUUAUAUGACGUGUAGUAAUGAAUAUAAUUGUAUUAACGAAUAUAGUCAUAUUAAGCAUUUGUAUCAAAUUGUAUCAACGAAUACAAUUGUGUCAAUUGUAUCAACUUUUAUAUCACUUGUAUCUAGACAAUAUGUUAAGAUAAAUUAUAUUUAACCUUGUGCUAUAAUCAUACAGAUGAUUUGUACAUUUUCCAUUUUAAUUAGAUUGUGAACAAACAAAAAAAGUAAUUUUUUAAAUUGAUAAAUAAAUGUGUGCUUUAUUUGGUAGAAAAAGGAUAUUAUAUAUAUAUAGUUAAAGGUUCACCAUUACAUCAGUACUAGUACUACUAAGUACAGAAAGGUUGCCAAAACGAGCUAACUUAUUACAUGUAGACCAUAAUAUUAGCUUGUUAGAUAGAACUCCACCAAGGUCAGGUUUAAGGUAAUCCUUUACAGCCUCCGGGGGAGAUAGUAAGAUAUGUGGUUGGUUGGUCAUUGUCAGCUUGGCACCUAUAUUAGACAAAACAUCAGCUACCAUGUUUGCUUGGCGAAAAUUAUGGCGGACCGUUGGAUUCCCCAACUUCUUCAACAUUGACCUGCAAGACAUAAUAAUAGAAGAGUAAGUUGGAGGUGAGUUCUCUAAGAAUUGCAGAAUUUCAAGAGAGUCUGUCUCAACUUCUAAAGGAAAGAGGUUAUGAGUGAAGGCGAUGUGAAGACCAGUAAGGAAAGCCUCAAUUUCAGACAUGGUAUUGUUAUGGCAGUGAGUUUGAUUGUGGAAGCCGACCAUCCAGCCCCCACUAGAGUUCCGGAUGAUGCCUCCUAUGCCUUUGUUUUUUUGAGAAGGAGCCAUCUGUGUUCAAUUUAUAAAACCCGAGAGGGGGAAGAAACCAUUGAAUGUCAAUAGACGUGGUAGCAUCCGGAUUACUAGGCGACUGGGUGUGAGUGAUGUAUUCUAUGGUCCUGUUCCGAAUUAAGAUAGGAGAGGGAAAAUCAGUCUUACCAUUAUGGUUUCUAUUAAUCCAGAUGUGCCAAAAAGCAAAGGGUUUCCAACUAUAGAUGGUGUUAUACUCAGGGAAGACCAGCUGAGAAAGAAGCAGAAGCCAGUGCAGUUCGUCAUUAUGAUGAAGUAAAUGGGAGAUAUUUAUGCCCAAAUCCAGCCAAAUUUUUUUUUUGCAAUGUAGCACUCCAAGAAAACAUGUUCAAUGGUUUCAUGAGCCAGGGAACAAACUGGGCACAAAGGGUCAAUAUCAAUACCAAUAUGAUGAAGAUAAGCACCUGAGCACAAAGCCAAAGGAAGACUUUAUGUUUUUCUAUCGUGUGGAGUUUCCAGAUCCACGCGAAAGGGAAAGUAAUGUUAGGAUUGGGGUUUAGGAUACCGUACACCGAUUUGGUUGUAAAAAUGCCAUUACUAUUACAAGACCAGUAAGGAAUGUCCCAUUCCCCGAGGUUCCUAUUGAGCUGAAUCUUAGAAGCUUUUUGAACGAUAUCUAGAGGGAUGUUAAAGGAUAUCUUAGACCAGUCCCAGGAGGUGUCAUUCCAUAAAGAGGAAACAGUAAGAUGAUCUUCACCUUGAUUCAGAGGGCCUUGGAGGAUAGUUCUAAGGGCAGGUGGUGUUGGGUAUCCAACGGUGAUGCCAAACAUUAAUAAUCUGCCCUCUAGUCGGAGUCCAGGCAAUUGCUUUCGAGCAAAUAUUACUCCCAAGAAGAAUGUUUUUCCAUAUAAAGGAAUGGGAAGGGGCAGUAGUUCGAGAUUUAUACUUCAUGAUUAAGGUUUUGGCCCAAAGGGAAGAUUGGUCCGUAAUGAGGCGCCAAGCAAGACCGGUCAGGAGAGCUUUGUUCUUGGUGUCUGCUUUUUGUAAGCCUAGGCCUCCACAAUCUUUCGGGGAGGUCACUUUCUCCCAAGCAAUGUAGUGGGUUGUGCAACCCUAAAGAAAAUCGCGUUGAAUUUUAUCGAUAGUGUUACAAAUCUUCAUAGGAAGUUGGAAGUAUUGCAUAGAAUAGGCCGGAAUGGCAUUAAGGGUAGAUUUAGCAAGAGUGAUGCGUCCUGCAGUAGUCAGAAAGUGUACCUUCCAACUGGAAAGUUUUUUCCUCAUGUUGUCGAGGAUAUAAUGAAAGUCAGCAGCUCUAGGAUUACGGUUAAGGAUGGGGAAGCCAAGAUAUUUACCGAAAUCAGAAGAUGGAGUAAUACGAAAGCAGUAUUGCACAAGGUUCCUAGAGACGUUAUCACAGCAUGGAGAGAAAAUGGAUUUGGACUAAGCAACAUUUAUUUUUUGUCCAGACAGUUCACAAAAAGCAGACAUACAUUCAUACAUGGUAUUGAUAGACUUUUGGGUCGCCCGAGAAAUUAAAGUUAAGUCAUCUGCAAAGAAUAGAUGCGAGAAUUAAGGGAUGUUAGCUGACAGGGAGAUAGGCUCCCAUCGGAGGAUGUCGACUUGAUGAUUGAUUAAUGUAUUUCGACAGGAGCUCCAUGCAAAGGAUAAAGAUAUAAGGGGACAUGGGGUCUCCUUGACUUAUUCCCCUAGAAGGGGAGAAGUAGUUAGUUUGGGUUCCAUUUACGAGGACAACAAUAUUCGAAGUGGAGAUGCAACUCAUAAUGAGUUGGUAAUUUUCUGAGGGAACUUAAAGUAGAGAAGAGUUCGAUAAACGAAAGACCAUUCAAGACGCUUUUUCGAGAUCAAUUUUGAGCAUAACGUAACCUUUUUUACUCUUGCUCUUGUUAAGGUGCGUCAAAAGUUCCUGAAUAAGGAUGGCAUUAUCGCAAGCUCUUCUCCCCUUCUGAAAGCUAGUUUGGCAGGGACUGAUAAGAUUAUUGAGGUGGGGCUUAAGGCAGUUCGCAAUGAUUUUGGUAAUGAUUUUAUAGAUGGUAUUACAUAGACCAAUAGGCUUAUAGUUCUUCAGAUGGUUAGCAUUAGGGAACUUAGGUAUGAGGCAGAGAAGGGUCUUAUUCAAGGAUGGGGGCAUAACUUGGGUAUUAAAAAUUUGCUGGCAGCUUUCGAUGACAGAAUUACCCACUACUUUCCAUUGGGAUUGAAAAAAAUGUGGGUGUAUGCCAUCAGGCCCUGGGAGCUUUGAACGGUUUGAAGGAGAAAAGAAUUUGAGUUAUUUCAUAGUCCUGCAGGGAACGAUCCAUAUCGGAGAGGUCAAGCUUAUGAAAACUGAUAGGAGAGGAUUGAAUGUAUCUCAAGUUAGAGAGAGAAUGGUCAGAAGUAAAACAAUUAGAGAAGUAGCUGAAGGUGUGAUCAAUAAUUGUAGAGGGGUUCGUAAUCCAGUUAUCAUUGUCAUCUUCUUCUGUUUACAACCGAUAAGUGGAAGAAUUUAGUAUUCGCAUCGCCAUUAGCCAGCCAAUUGAUGUGCGAUCUCAGUUUCCAGUACUCCUCUUCCAUUUUAAGAAUAUCAUUAUAUUCCUUACGGAGGUUUAUGUCAAGAUUCUGAAGAAAGGAGCUGGUGGAAAAGGCGUAGGAAUUUUGGAUACCCUCUAAUCUAGCUAGGAUUUUCUUUUUCUUUAAAAAGAUAUUCCCAAAGGGUUUUUUACUCCAUUCGAUAGCAUUACUCGUGAAGAUAGGCAGGGCGUCAUAGAGGCUCCUAUUUUCCCAACUACGCUUCACUAAAUCACUAAACUUCGGGUGAUCGACCCAGAAUUUUUCCAUUCUAAAAGGCUUAUUCUUUUUUGACCCAGGGGAACCAUUAAUGGUGAUGAGGAGAGGAUUAUGGUCGGAGUGAGUCUUAGGGAGAUGAGUGACGAGAGUGUUGGGCCAAAGGCCGGACCAAGAAUGAUUGACAAAGGCUCUAUCCAGUCUUUCAAGAAUUAAGGAUGCGCGUCUCUUCCUAUGAUUAGACCAAGUAUAUCGAUCCCCCUUAAAGCCUAAAUCAAUAAGUUGACAACGAUUAAUGCAAGACCAAAAGAGAGAGCUUCUACUACGAUUAAUACCACGCCCUCCCCAUUUAUCGUGAUGUGUAAGGACUUCAUUAAAGUCUCCAGCAACAAGCCAAGGACCAUCAUAAGUAUUCACAAUAGCUUCUAGGUUAUUCCAUAAAUUAAUACGAUCAGUAUGAACAGUACUAGCAUAAAUCGCGGAGAACCACCAACUAAAAUUAUUAGGCGAUACCUGGAUCAUGGCAUGCAUCUCCUGAGGAGUUUGUUUCUUCCUAGUAACAUUGAGAAUAAUAGAGUGCCAAAGGAGCACAAGUGCAGGGACUUCCCAAUAGUCAUCAAACCCAAAUUUGGUAACCAUGCUAAGGUGAUCAGCCAUCUUAGUCUCAAGGAGAGCCGCCAUGCAAGGGUUGUGGUUCUUAAUAAGCUCCUUGAAGUUUCUCUUAAAGUUAUCAUUGUUAACACCACGAGUAUUCCAGACGAUGAAACUAGUGGGCUGGUUCAUCGGGGAGUAGAAAGAGGUAGCAGAAUCAGGAUUGUCUGACAUGGGGAUGUGAUUGGUUAUCAUGGUCGGAGUCAUCACUACCGCAUAUUUUGCUAUUGCACUGUUCACUGCAGGUCGAAGAUCGAAGGAGGUCUUCAGUAGGGCUAUAGGACAAAGGUGGAUGUAUUUUUUGUCCUCGUUCACCUGGAAUAUCAUUGAUCCUUGUCUUUUUUUAAAAUCUAUCCAAAAUAAUUUUUUUUUUAUACUUUUUCACAAAUUUAUUAGAUCUAUCAAACUUUUGAUCUUGAAUUGAUAAAUAAAAGUGCUAAUGGCUUCCCAAAUCUAUUAGUUCAUUAUGUUAGAAUUGACAACACUAAAAUUAUUAAAGAAAACAAGUAAAUGUUAGGAAUGCACUAAAUUGUAGAUGUUCAUGUAAUACUCUUACAACAAAUAACUCGCACAUAAUUCAAGUAGUUAUUAGAAAGACUUAUAGCAACUUAUUCCUAGGGUUCACUAUCAAACAUGUAGCUUGCAAGUAACUUAUACAAAUGGAGCCCAGUACUUUUCACUUCCAUCGUUCUUUUUUUUGUUUGCAAGCUUUGAAAUUUUGUAUUUUCAUAAAUAAAAAAUGCUACAAACUUCAUCCCUAAAUUGCAAGUAGCCCUGUUCUUUUAUUAGUGUACAUACAAGUCAUUUUCCAUAUGAAAAAUCUUGUGAGAUGAUUGAUGCUUUAUCUUCUGAUUUUGUUUGAAAGCACCAUGAUCCACCAAAAGAUAAGUCACUUUUCCAUAACAAAAAUUAAUGUGGAUGUCUCCUUCACAUUAAUUUGGGAAAACAUUUUCCAAAAAAUAAUUUCUAACAUUACCAAAUAGUGCAUUGAUUUUUUGAAUGGUGCCAGCCAUUAUAUGAUUGAGAUCUCUAAACCCUUUCAAUUAGUAAGUAUUAGGCAUGGCUUUGAUAUGGGCAACGCUAGUGGUUGUUUUUAUUGUGUAUGCCUUUUAUGAGUUGCUAAACAAUAUCCAGAAUAGGAAAAGGUAUCCUCCAGGUCCAAAAGGGCUUCCCAUUAUAGGACAUCUUCACUUGUUAGGAAAAAAUCCACACCAAGAUUUCCUAAAACUAGCAAAAACACAUGGUCCUCUUAUGUAUGUUAGACUGGGACUAGUACCUACAAUCGUUGUCUCGUCUGCAGACACAGCGGAGAAGUUCCUCAAGACAUAUGAUCAUAUCUUUGCUAGUAGACCUCAUAAUGAAGCAGCUUAUUAUUUGGCAUAUGGACAGAAGAAUCUGAUAUCCGCAAAGCAUGGACCAUACUGGCGCAGCAUGCGCAAGUUGUGCACUCAGCACCUUUUCGGUAACCAAAAGAUCAAUUCAUUUCAAUCUAUGAGAAAGCAGCAAGUUGAGGUUAUGAUCAAAUCACUCAAAAAUGAAGCUUGUGAUCAUCGUGUUGUUGUUGAUCUUAGUGCAAAGAUUUCGUCUUUGAAUGCUGACUUGACUUGCUUGAUGGUGUUUGGAAAGAAGUACAUGGAUGAAGAUUUGGACAAGAGGGGAUUCAAAGCUCUUGUCAAAGAGGUUGAGCAUUUAGCAGCAACACCAAAUCUUGGAGAAUUUUUCCCCUUCCUUGGUGUAAUUGAUCUCCAGGGACUCACUCGCAGGAUCAAGGAUCUUUCAAAGGUGUUUGAUGACUUUUUUGAGAAGAUUAUCGAUGAACAUGUCCAGUCUCGUGACCAGAAGCAAUCUAAAGACUUUGUUGACACCAUGUUGGACAUUAUGCAAUCAGGAGAAGCAGAAUUUCAGUUUGACCGUAGACAUAUAAAAGCCAUCCUCUUCGUACGUUAUUUCAUCUCCUCUAUAUACUUCUAUUAUUGUACAAUUUAAAUUUGUUUGUACUAAUUUCCCCUGUUUCCCUUUCUAUAGCAGGAUAUGUUAAUUGCAGCAAUGGGCACUUCACCAUCAGCUAUAGAAUGGAUACUAACGGAGCUUCUUCGGCACCCUCAUGUGAUGAAGAAACUCCAAAAAGAGUUAGAAGAAGUGGUAGGCCUUGAAAAAAUGGUAAAAGAAUCAGACUUGGAAAAUUUGAACUACUUAGACAUGGUUGUAAAGGAGGGCCUGAGGCUGCAUGCCGUAGCGCCACUAGCGCCUCACGAGGCCAUGGAAGAUUGUGUAGUCAAUAGCUUCAACAUACAAAAAGGAUCCCGGAUCAUGAUUAACUUUUAUGCUGUUCAAAGGGAUCCAAAUAUUUGGCCUGAACCUGAAAAGUUUUUGCCCGAGAGGUUUGUUGGGAGCAGUAUAGACAUUCGUGGACAUGACUUCCAACUUUUACCAUUUGGUUCUGGCAGAAGAAGAUGCCCUGCAAUGCAGUUGGCAAUUGUCCUUGUCUACCUUAUAGUGGCACAACUGGUGCAUUGCUUUGAUUGGGAGCUUCCAAAUGGUAUGCAGCCUUGUGAUUUGGAUGUUGAGGAGCACUUUGGGUUAGCAACAAGCAGAGAAAAUCAUUUAAUGGCUAUUCCUACUUAUAGACUAAAAA